rnacentral:rRNA from 1 species
UACAGAGGGUGCGAGCGUUAAUCGGAGUUACUGGGCGUAAAGGGCGUGUAGGCGGUGCGGUAAGUCGGGCGUGAAAUCCCCGGGCUUAACCCGGGGCGGUCGUUCGAAACUGCCGUGCUAGAGUGCAGGAGAGGGAAGUGGAAUUCCCGGUGUAGCGGUGAAAUGCGUAGAGAUCGGAAAGAACACCAACGGCGAAAGCACUCUGCUGGGCCGACACUGACACUGAGAGACGAAAGCUAGGGGAGCGAAUGGG